GAACCAGAGACAGUAUCCAUAGAAGCCAAUGAGUGGAAGAGAGCAGCCUCACAUGAUCAUUAGCACCACUUCUGGACUAUGCUGUACUCUAGAGGCUGUGGACUGUGUAGAGACUGGGAGACGAGUGGAGGCAGUGGCUAUCAGGUGCAUGAUGGGAAGUGUGCUGGCAGGGGACAGCAGUGUGGCGGUGGACCAAAAUCAAUUGGCAGUGUAAUGAGAUGGCAGCGCGCCAGGUUGCCAUGGAGCUCACUUGGGCUGUCCUUCACCGGAGGAUUUGUAAAUUAAAGAGAGAGAAAGAUCAGGAGUAGAGAGAAAGAAACAGAGGGGGAUAGAGAGAGAGAGAGAGCGAGAGAGAGAGAGAGAGAGAGAGUGAGAGAGAGAGAGAAGGGGGAGAGGGAGGGAGAGAGAAAGAGAGAGAGAGGGAGAAAGAGAGAGAGAGAGAGAGAGAGAGAGAGAGAGAGAGAGAGAGAGAGAGAGAGAGAGAGAGAGUGGGAGGUAAAGGAACGAAGAAGGGCAGAGAGAAAAAGGGAGGAGGUGGGAAAGGGCUGUGCAUAGUUAAAAUCAAGCCUGUUCGGGGUAGAGAGGGUUGUUAUGCAGGAGCGAUGAAGAAUGAAUUAGAGAGAAAUAAAAAGACUAGAGUAAGACGCUGUGUGUGUUCUGGUGCUCUUAUCCCAACAGCUUGAACUGUUUGAUUUUUCAUUUCUUUAGGGCAUACUGAAUUUGUAUUUUUCUACAAAAUCUUAUGUUCAGUAAGGAAAGAAAGGAACCUCCCUUGUCUGCCAGUAUUGAUUUCUUUUCCAAUUUUCCUUCUCUCUUGCCAAAAGCAUGGAUGCUUUCUCUGAAAAAACAGAAUGGAAUAAGUCUGUUUGAUUUCAAUGUAAAUUCACGCAUCGCUUCAUCAUGUUAAUGUGUCAAUCAGGGGCUGUCAUGCAAUAUGUGGGACAGCAGUUUGUGUCAUUACCAGAAUGGUGUCACUACCACAACAAAAUACAACUUUGCUCUGGUAUUGACAGUUUCGGUGUGACAAUUAAAACCUAUUUUCCAAAUAACUGUUGCUAAUACAUUAUAUUGCCG
ensembl:lncRNA